rnacentral:rRNA from 1 species
CCUACGGGGGGCUGCAGUGGGGAAUUUUGGACAAUGGGGGCAACCCUGAUCCAGCAAUGCCGCGUGUGUGAUGAAGGCCUUCGGGUUGUAAAGCACUUUUGGCGGGAAAGAAACGGCGCUUGCUAAUACCAGGCGCUAAUGACGGUACCCGCAGAAUAAGCACCGGCUAACUACGUGCCAGCAGCCGCGGUAAUACGUAGGGGACGAGCGUUAAGCGGAAUUACUGGGGGUAAAGCUUGAACAGGCGGGUGAAAUCCCCGAGCUUAACCUGGGAACUGCAUUCGUGACUGCAGGGCUAGAGUGUGUCAGAGGGAGGUGGAAUUCCGCGUGUAGCAGUGAAAUGCGUAGAGAUGCGGAGGAACACCGAUGGCGAAGGCAGCCUCCUGGGAUAACACUGACGCUCAUGCACGAAAGCGUGGGGAGCAAACAGGAUUAGAUACCCUGGUAGUC